rnacentral:rRNA from 1 species
CCUACGGGAGGCAGCAGUGGGGAAUAUUGGACAAUGGGCGCAAGCCUGACCCAGCAACGCCGCGUGGGUGACGAAGGCCUUCGGGUUGUAAAGCCCUUUUCUGAGGGAAGAUAGUGACGGUACCUCAGGAAGAAGCACCGGCUAACUACGUGCCAGCAGCCGCGGUAAU